rnacentral:rRNA from 1 species
AUGGAGGUGGCGACGGUGUUCCUGGAGACGAGCCUGGGCACCCGCCUCGCCGUCUCAUUCCCCGCCUCCGCCACCACCGUCGCCGACCUCAAGCGGAGCGUAAGCGAUGAACACGCCGCAGCUUUCCCCCACAUCGGCCACAUCGCCGUCCAAGCCAUCAAGGUGAAGCAGGGAGGCUCCUUGUACCUCCUCACCGACUCCAUGGCCGUCCGGGAUGCUUUCCGCGGGGUCACCGGCGCAUGGCACCUCCAACUCCAGGUCCAUGCUCUGCCUCGCCCUCGCCCUGCUCUUCAUCAACAAAUGCCUCAAGUGCCACACGGCUGUAACUGCAAAUGUUCCUCUCAACCUUGUGUGCCUGCUUGCCACCAACUUGAGUGUGAGGAGGGGUCACCAACAAGCAGGAGCUUUGCUGCUAAUUUGGGAUGCCGAAAGAGAUCGGCCUGUGAGAUGCUCAGCAUAGCUGGGAACAUGUGCAAUGCUGCAAACAGCAAGCAAGAUGCACCUUGUGUUGAGGAACUCAACCAUGUUGGUGAUCCUUGUUCAGAAAUGCAACUUGAGGAAAAGGAACCAUGGACUGACAGUGUAUGCAAAGGGGGAGGAAGCAGCCACUGGAAUGAUCCAAUUGAAUGGACAGACGCAGAACAGAGGGCAUGGGAGAUGGCAUUGAAGAAAAGAAGGCGGCCGAGGACCGCAGUGCGCAAAAUGCCAAACAGUAGGGCAGCCAAGCUGUAUGGCUACAGGUAA